rnacentral:RNase_P_RNA from 1 species
GAGGAAAGUCCGGGCUCCACAGGGCAAGGAUAACGGGUAACGCCCGCCGAAGGCGACUUCAGGAAAAGUGCAACAGAGAGAUACCGCCCCGCGCAAGCGGAGCAAGGGUGGAAAAGUGAGGUAAGAGCUCACUCGCCGGCUGGAGACUGUCCGGCGCUGUAAACUCUAUCCGGAGCAACACCGUGGAGGAGACACAUGGCUGGCCCGGCCGUCUCCGGGAGGUGGCAUGGAGCGUGCCGGCAACGGUACGACAAGAUAGAUGGCUGUCCAAGACAGAACCCGGCUUACAGACCCGAUUG